GGUUCGCCCCGCUCCUCUUCCCCAAAAAACUCAAGGGCCGGACAGAGAGUAUUGGGAGUGGAUGCCAAUGAGAUCAAUGUUGGGUUGUGGACCACAUGAUAUAAGGACUUAUGUGCAUAAGUUGUGUAGACAUAUACAACUCAAUUUUUGAAUGGAUCCAAUCUGAUUCAAGUUUGAA